rnacentral:rRNA from 1 species
AUUGAACGCUGGCGGCAGGCCUAACACAUGCAAGUCGAACGGUAACAGAAAGCAGCUUGCUGCUUUGCUGACGAGUGGCGGACGGGUGAGUAAUGUCUGGGAAACUGCCCGAUGGAGGGGGAUAACUACUGGAAACGGUAGCUAAUACCGCAUAACGUCGCAAGACCAAAGAGGGGGACCUUCGGGCCUCUUGCCAUCGGAUGUGCCCAGAUGGGAUUAGCUAGUAGGUGGGGUAACGGCUCACCUAGGCGACGAUCCCUAGCUGGUCUGAGAGGAUGACCAGCCACACUGGAACUGAGACACGGUCCAGACUCCUACGGGAGGCAGCAGUGGGGAAUAUUGCACAAUGGGCGCAAGCCUGAUGCAGCCAUGCCGCGUGUAUGAAGAAGGCCUUCGGGUUGUAAAGUACUUUCAGCGGGGAGGAAGGGAGUAAAGUUAAUACCUUUGCUCAUUGACGUACCCGCAGAAGAGCACCGCA